rnacentral:rRNA from 1 species
CAGUAGCCGGGAAUACAGAGGGUGCGAGCGUUAAUCGGAUUUACUGGGCGUAAAGCGUGCGUAGGCGGCUUUUUAAGUCGGAUGUGAAAUCCCUGAGCUUAACUUAGGAAUUGCAUUCGAUACUGGGAAGCUAGAGUAUGGGAGAGGAUGGUAGAAUUCCAGGUGUAGCGGUGAAAUGCGUAGAGAUCUGGAGGAAUACCGAUGGCGAAGGCAGCCAUCUGGCCUAAUACUGACGCUGAGGUACGAAAGCAUGGGGAGCAAACAGGAUUAGAUACCCCUGUAGUCCCUGUCUCUUAUACAC